CAUCGUACGAUCCUUUGGACACGUCUAAAGGUGAGAGUGGCGAACGGGUGAGUAACACGUUGGUGACCUGCCCCGGAGAGGGGUAUGAACCACUGGAAACGGUGGCUAAUACCCCAGAUGUCAUUGAUUUUGGAACUCAGUGACUAAAGCCCCGGCGCUCCGGGAGGGGCCUGCGGCCCAUCAGCUAGUUGGUAGGGUAAUGGCAUCCCCAAGGCAAAGACGGGUAGGGGGCGUGAGAGCGUGACCCCCCACACUUAUCCCAGACACGGACCACAUUGGAGCCACUGCGGGUAGCACCACCAAGGAAUAUUGCCCAAUGGACGAAAGUCUGAUGCAGCAACGCCGCGUGGAGGACGAAGGCCUUCGGGUCGUAAGCUCCUUUUCUGGGGGAUGAGAAAGGACAGUACCCCAUGAAUAAGUCUCGGCUAACUACGUGCCAGCAGCCGCGUAAAACGUAGGAGGCGAGCGUUAUCCGGAUUUACUGGGCGUAAAGCGCAUGCAUGCGGUUUUCUAAGUUAUCAGACGUGAAAGCUCUCGGCUCAACUGGGAGAGGCCGUUCGAAACUAUCCAGACUUGAGGGUGGUAGAAUAUGAGAGUGGAAUUCCCGGUGUAGUGGUGAAAUGCGUAGAUAUCGGGAGGAACACCAGUGGCGAAGGCGGCUCUCUGGGCCAACCGUGACGCUAAGAUGCGAAAGCUAGGGGAGAGAACGGGAUUAGCAACGCCGGUAUUCCUAGCCGUUAACGAUGUCAACUAACCGUAGGGUAGUUAUUGACUGUGCUGUAGCUAACGCAUUAAGUUGUCCGCCUGGGGACUACGGCCGCAUGGCUAAAACUCAAAGGAUUCACGGGUCCCCGCAUAAGCAGCGGAGCGUGUGAUUACAAUUCGAGGCUACGCGAAGAACCUUACCAGGGUAUGACAUGCUGGUGGUAGAGACGUGUAUCACGAAUCGACCACUUCGUUAUCCAGCACAGGUGUAUUAAUGGCUGUCGUCAGCUCGUGCCGUGAGGUGUUAGGUUAAGUCCUGUAACGAGCGCAACCCUCGUCGCUAGUUACAAGUGUCUAGCGAGACUGCCGGUGAUAAGCCGGUUAUAUGGGGAUGACGUCAAAUUCCACGGAUUAUAUCCUGGGCUACACCCACGCUACAAUGGCCGGUACAAUGGGUCGCCAAGCCGCGAGGCGGAGCCAAUCCUCUAAAGCCGGUCUCAGUUCGGAUUGCAGGGUGCAACUCGCCUGAUUGAGACCAGUCGGAGUUGCUAGUAGCCGCGCGUCAGCAAAUUAAGUUAGGCCAAUACGUUCCCGGGGAUUGUACACACCGCCCGUCACGUCACGGAAGUUGGCAACGCCCGAAGUCGGUGGGCUAACCCUCACGGGAGGCAGCCGCCUAAUAUGGGGACCAGAUU
rnacentral:rRNA from 1 species